rnacentral:tRNA from 1 species
GCGUUUGUAGCUCAGCUGGAUAGAGCGUCGGACUUCGAAUCCGCAGGUCACACGUUCGAAUCGUGUCAGACGCA